rnacentral:rRNA from 1 species
AUUGAACGCUGGCGGCAUGCCUAACACAUGCAAGUCGAACGGAGUGGCGGACGGGUGAGUAAUAUAUCGGAACGUGCCUAAUAGAGGGGGAUAACUACUCGAAAGAGUGGCUAAUACCGCAUACUAUUGGAUCGGCCGAUAUGGGAUUAGCUAGUUGGUGGGGUAAAGCCUCACCAAGGCAACGAUCCGUAGCUGGUCUGAGAGGAAGACCAGCCACACUGGUACUGAGACACGGCCCAGACUCCUACGGGAGGCAGCAGUGGGGAAUAUUGGACAAUGGGGGAAAGCCUGAUCCAGCCAUCCCGCGUGUAUGAAGAAGGCCUUCGGGUUGUAAAGUACUUUUGGCAGAGAAGCGGUAUCUGCAGAAUAAGCACCGGCUAACUACGUGCCAGCCGCCGCGGUAAUAC